rnacentral:rRNA from 1 species
GAUUCAGUGGUUGGUGGUGCAUGGCCGUUCUUAGUUCGUGGAGCGAUUUGUCUGGUUAAUUCCGAUAACGAACGAGACUCACGCCUGCUAAAUAGUGGCGGCCGCUCCGGCGGCUCGCGUACUUCUUAGAGGGACAAGCGGCGCUUAGCCGCGUGAAGCUGUGAGCAAUAACAGGUCAGUGAUGCCCUUAGAUGUUCGGGGCCGCACGCGCGCUACACUGUCGGCAUCAGCGUGACACCCGCGCCGAGGGGCGUGGGCAACCCGUUGAACCGCCGACGUGCUAGGGAUCGGGGCUUGCAAUUGUUCCCCGUGAACGAGGAAUUCCUUGUAGGGGCGCGUCAUCAGCGCGCCCCGAAUCCGUCCCUGCCCUUUGUACACACCGCCCGUCGCUACUACCGAUCGAAUGGUUUAGUGAGGCCCGCGGACCGCGCGGAUUCGCCGGGUUCGCCCGGCGCUGUCCGAGCGGGAAGCG